UGGGGAAUAUUGCACAAUGGGCGCAAGCCUGAUGCAGCAACGCCGCGUGAGGGACGACGGCCUUCGGGUUGUAAACCUCUUUUAGUAGGGAAGAAGCGAAAGUGACGGUACCCGCAGAAAAAGCACCGGCUAACUACGUGCCAGCAGCCGCGGUAAUACGUAGGGUGCAAGCGUUGUCCGGAAUUAUUGGGCGUAAAGAGCUCGUAGGCGGUUUGUCGCGUCUGCUGUGAAAAACCCGAGGCUCAACCUCGGGCCUGCAGUGGGUACGGGCAGACUAGAGUGCGGUAGGGGAGAAUGGAAUUCCUGGUGUAGCGGUGGAAUGCGCAGAUAUCAGGAGGAACACCGAUGGCGAAGGCAGUUCUCUGGGCCCGUAACUGACGCUGAGGAGCGAAAGCGUGGGGAGCGAACAGGAUUAGAUACCCUGGUAGUCCACGCCGUAAACGUUGGGCGCUAGAUGUGGGGCACCAUUCCACGGUUUCCGUGUC
rnacentral:rRNA from 1 species